rnacentral:rRNA from 1 species
GAUGAACGCUGGCGGCGUGCUUAACACAUGCAAGUCGAACGGUGAACACGGAGCUUGCUCUGUGGGAUCAGUGGCGAACGGGUGAGUAACACGUGAGCAACCUGCCCCUGACUCUGGGAUAAGCGCUGGAAACGGCGUCUAAUACUGGAUAUGUGACGUGAUCGCAUGGUCUGCGUCUGGAAAGAAUUUCGGUUGGGGAUGGGCUCGCGGCCUAUCAGCUUGUUGGUGAGGUAAUGGCUCACCAAGGCGUCGACGGGUAGCCGGCCUGAGCGGGUGACCGGCCACACUGGGACUGAGACACGGCCCAGACUCCUACGGGAGGCAGCAGUGGGGAAUAUUGCACAAUGGGCGCAAGCCUGAUGCAGCAACGCCGCGUGAGGGAUGACGGCCUUCGGGUUGUAAACCUCUUUUAGCAGGGAAGAAGCGAAAGUGACGGUACCUGCAGAAAAAGCGCCGGCUAACUACGUG